GUAUUUAAAAUUGAACCUCUGCGGGUCACGCGCAUAAAGCCCCUUCCCCUGGAUAGCCAGCAGUUAUGCUGAGCUCAGGCACAACAGCUGCCGACUCACCAGCGUGCCGCACCUUAAACCGCCUGCGCUGGGUAGUCUUCGAGGACACCGGCGUGUAAAAAUGAUAACAUGCGGAGGAACCCGUACUGGCCAGACACACCGCGCCUCUCGGCGCUCACCCGCUAGACGGCCAACAUUUCCCGCGGCAGCGCCCUCAACACAUAAACGCCCCCAGGAAUUCCAGGUGAUCUGGAUCAAAGGCUCUAACAUACAUCCCAGCAGGGACUACAGCUGAAAGAAGCAAGCAUUACCCAUCCUUGAAGGACUCAUACAAGUUGUUCAGAUUUCAGACCCUGGCCUCUCCCAGUCACCACAUAAAAUUGUCAGAAAAUAUACUGGCUUACCUUCUCUCAUGCUAUGGGGAGUGGGAGAGGCAAGAUCUGCUCACAGAUGCAAACCUGGCAAACUACCUCCAUGUUUCAUUGAACUACAGUUUUUAACCCUCCUGAUUUUGAGACUGUAGUUAUUUUAUAUUUGUAAAUACAAAUAAGUACAAAUUUUUUUAAUCUUUAUUUUUGUAAGACUUUCAUGCUGCCAUUUUGUUUCAUGAUUUGAAUAGCAGGAACUAUAAUUGUGUGUUUGCAUGGCCAUAACCAUGCAGUUUAUGGUUGCUAUUUCCAUUGUUUGUCACCUGACUUUUUAUGUAAUCGCUCCCUGUCUAUAUAAAUAAGAUGGCGGCAUGCCACUCUUAUGUGGCAUUCUGUUUACCUUGAAAGUUAACUCUUGGAAUGAUGUCACGCUUGAGAUGACCACAUCCCAGUAGAACAUUCAGAAAACCAAUAUGAAUGCCUCCAGGAAAAGCUUUGUUGUGCUUGCUUUUGGAGAAUAAAUACCAGUUGAUAACAACACAUUACACAGUAUUUUGCACCUCUAAAUACAAAAGCAACAUGUUGUGGCAGAAGGGUGGAGUCCUUAUCCAGCCAGGACACCAAUGUGAUGGAAGGACCGGGAGAGCGAGUGGGCUGAGGAAAUUAUCUCCCCGGGAUGCUAGAGGGCAGCUGUGGCUCCAGGGCAUGCUGGGAGUUGGAGUUUGCUGUUGCCCUGUAGGGUUCCGUGGAUGCUGCCAGGGAGUGCUGUGGGAUCAGCAGAGCUCUGCAUGGCAGGAAUGCCGCCACACCUGGAAGUGCUGCUGGAUGAAGAGCACUAGACAUCUGGAGCACUUCCGGAUGCUCUAUAAAAGGAGCCAACUGCCAGUACUCUGGGAGCCAGAGUUGGGAGGAAGUGAGACAAAGCUUGCCAGAAGAGGAGUGAAGGUGAAGGACAUGAGAGAGAAAAUAGACCAGACGAAAGAAAAAAAGUGUGCUUUAGUGGUUAUCGGGCUUGGGACAGUGCAGGUGGGAAAUGGAGAACACAUUUCCCAUGAGCAAAAUACAUUAAAAAGUUUGUGCUAAAAGUGUGUCCUGCAUCUGUUUGUCGGGUUUGGGUUGCUGGAGUGCCCUUUGCAGGCCACAAUGUCCACAGAUAGAAGUUAGACUUCACUGUAUGUAUGGCAAUAAUGCUAAUAAACAAUAUAAUAGUACAACUGUAACUAAAGUUUAUGGUGUAUAUCCCCAUUCUGGAUUGAUGUCAUAAUCUGAAUUUGGACAAUUCUGGAUUGGACAAA